UCCGAUCGUGUUGUCCCAAGUAGCGCGGGCCUCGUGGAAUCCCGCGUGAAUCAGCCCAGACCGUUGGGUAAGUCUAAGCAUACCUGUCUGACCGAUAGCGUACCAGUACCGUGAGGGAAAGGUGAAAAGCACCCCGGGAGGGGAGUGAAACAGUUCCUGAAACCGUGCGCCCACAAACCGUCGGAGCCUCCUUGUGGGGUGACGGCGUGCCUAUCGAAAAAUGAGUCUGCGAGUCAGUGGCGGGUGGCGAGCAUAAGCCGUGUGGCGUAUGCGUAGCGAAAGCGAGUCUUAAAAGGCGUUUUUAGUCGCUUGUCCUGGACCCGAAGCGGGAUGAUCUAGCCCUGGGCAGGUUGAAGCGCGGGUAAGACCGCGUGGAGGACCGAACCCACCUGGGUUGAAAACCGGGGGGAUGACCUGGGGCUAGGGGUGAAAGGCCAAUCAAAUUCCGUGAUAGCUGGUUCUCUCCGAAAUGCAUUUAGGUGCAGCGUCGGUCGAUUGCGUCGCGGGGGUAGAGCUACCGGAUGCUUGCGGGCCCUUGUUGGGUACCAACAGCAGCCGAACUCCGAAUACCGUUGACGUGUAUUCCGGCAGUGAGUCGGCGGGGGAUAAGCUCCGUCGUCGAGAGGGAGACAGCCCAGACCGUCGUCUAAGGUCCCGAAGCGUGUGCUAAGUGGGAAAGGAUGUGGAGUCGCAUAGACAGCCAGGAGGUUGGCUCAGAAGCAGCCAUCCUUGAAAGAGUGCGUAACAGCUCACUGGUCUAGUGGUUCCGCGCCGACAAUGUAGCGGGGCUCAAGCACACCACCGAAGACGCGGCAGCAAUCUUCAUGGUUGCUGGGUAGGAGAGCGUCCUGCAUGGGGCGAAGCGGCCGGGUAACCGUGCCGUGGACCGUGUGGGAGUGAGAAUGCAGACAUGAGUAGCGAGAGACGGGUGAGGAUCCCGUCCGCUGGAUGACCAAGGGUUCCGGGGCCACGUUCGUCGUCCCCGGGUGAGUCGGGUCCUAAGGCGAGGCCGACAGGCGUAGUCGAAUGGAUGAACGGGUGGAUAUUCCCGUACCGACCAUGGACCGGCAAAACCGAGACGGUGAGUACUAACCUCCGCCUCGUGGUGGUUCCUUCCUUCGGGUUGGUGUCGCCGCGUGGUGUUGGGACUGUAGCCGCAGUAGGUCAGCGCAGGGGUGACACGGAAUGGGAGCCGGCCGCGGAGGUGGUUUUCCGUGGUCAAGCACGCAGCCAGUCAUGUAGGCAAAUCCGCAUGGCGUGCAUGGCGAGGUGUGAUGAUGGGAGCCGUUAUGGCUCGAUAUCCGGUUGUCCAGGCCGUCGAGAAAAGCCUCGGCGUGAGGGCCAUGGCCGCCCGUACCCCAAACCGACACUGGUGGUCAGGUAGAGAAUACCAAGGCGAUCGAGCGAAUCCUGGUCAAGGAACUCGGCAAAUCACUCCCGUGCCUUCGGUAUAAGGGAGACCCGCUGGGGUGAACCGGCUAGCCCGGGGAGCUUUGGUGGGUGGCACAGACCAGGGGGUAGCGACUGUUUACCAAAAACACAGGUGCAUGCGAAGGCGAAAGCCGCUGUAUAUGCACUGACGCCUGCCCGGUGCCGGAAGGUUAAGAGGAUCCGUCAGUCCUUCGGGAUGAAGCGGUGAAUUCAAGCCCCGGUAAACGGCGGUGGUAACUAUAACCAUCCUAAGGUAGCGAAAUUCCUUGUCGGGUAAGUUCCGACCUGCACGAAUGGCGUAACGACUUCCCCACUGUCUCGACCAGGAGCUCGGCGAAAUUGCAGUACGAGUAAAGAUGCUCGUUAAGCGCAGAAGGACGAAAAGACCCCGGGACCUUUACUAUACCUUGGUAUUGGCGUUAGGCGCGGAUUGUGUAGCAUAGGCGGGAGGCUUCGAAGCGUGGGCGCCAGCUCAUGUGGAGCCGCAAGGUGAAAUACCGCUCUGUUCUCGUUUGACGUCUAACCUCGACAAGUCAUCCUUGUCAGGGACAGUGCCUGGCGGGUAGUUCAACUGGGGCGGUUGCCUCCCAAAGAGUAACGGAGGCGCUCAAAGGUCCGCUCAGCCCGGUUGGCAAUCGGGUGUCGAGUGUAAUCGCACAAGCGGGCUUGACUGCGAGGACGACGGUCCGAGCAGGGACGAAAGUCGGAGAUAGUGAUCCGGUGCCGGCGCACGGGCGCGGCAUCGCUCAACGGAUAAAAGGUACCCCGGGGAUAACAGGCUGAUCAUUCCCAAGAGUCCAUAUCGACGGGAUGGUUUGGCACCUCGAUGUCGGCUCGUCGCA
rnacentral:rRNA from 1 species